rnacentral:rRNA from 1 species
CCUACGGGAGGCAGCAGUGAGGAAUCUUGCGCAAUGGAGGAAACUCUGACGCAGCCACGCCGCGUGCUGGAAGACGGCCCUACGGGUUGUAAACAGCUUUUACCAGGGAAGAACCUCGGAGUUUCGACUUCGACUGACGGUACCUGGCGAAUAAGCACCGGCUAACUCCGUGCCAGCAGCCGCGGUAAUA